GGGAGCGAACGGGAUGUAGAUACCCCGGUAGUCACGCUGUAAACGAUGGAUACUAGGUGUGGGAGGUUAUUUACCCCUUCUGUGCCCGUAGCUGACGCGUUAAGUAUCCCGCCUGGGGACUACGGCGGCAAGGUUAAAACUCAAAGGAAUGACGGGAGGCCCGCACAAGCAGCGGAGCGUGUGGUUUAAUUGUGAUGAUACGGGAAGAACCUUACCUGGGCUUGACAUGGUGGUAGUAGUGAAGCGAAAGCGGAACGACCCUUCGGGGAGCCAUCACAGGUGCUGCAUGGCUGUCGUCAGCUCGUGUCGUGAGAUGUUGGGUUAAGUCCCGCAACGAGCGCAACCCUCGUCGCUAGUUAUAUGUGUCUAGUGAGACUGCCGGUAUCAAACCGGAGGAAGGUGGGGAUGACGUCAAGUCAGCAUGGUCUUUAUGUCCAGGGCUACACACACGCUACAAUGGCCGGUACAAUGGGUUGCCAUACCGCGAGGUGGAGCUAAUCCUCAAAGCCGGUCUCAGUUCGGAUUGCAGUCUGCAACUCGACUGCAUGAAGGUGGAGUUGCUAGUAACCGCGCGUCAGCAAUAGUGCGGUGAAUGCGUUCCCGGGCCUUGUACACACCGCCCGUCACAUCAUGGGAGUCGGCGGCCCUGAAGUCGGUGACCAAACCGAAAGGUAGGCUCUUCCUCAGGUGGGGCCGGUAACUGGGAUGAAUGUCGUAACAAGGUAACC
rnacentral:rRNA from 1 species